AGAAGACCUGCUCCACCUGCUGAUCUACUGGUUGUAACAGCUUGUGGGAAAGCAUCACUGGACCAAUCAGGCGAGAGAAGACAGAGAGGACUGAGGACUAAAACGAAAAUACUCUGCCUGCCAAAAAAGGUUUGAGGCAGACCGACCGCUGGGGAGAUGGACCUCACCUGGCACCAUUACUCUGGAUGUAACAGCUCGACUCUCCUGUCAAUUAAAACAUCAGUGACUCGAGAAGCGGACAGCGAGGUUUCUGGUGCCUGGCUGGAGACGAGAUUCUGAUUAUUCAAGAGCCAAAACAAAACGUCAGAAUAAAUAGUUAGAAGGCAGAUUUGUUUUCUAUUUGUUUUUGUUUUCAUUAUUAAUGCUCCAUAACACAAAAUUCAUCAGUGCUGUAACUCUUGAGUUGAAUAAAAUGUUCUUCUUUCAAUCUGUUAUUUCUGGAGUCUUUUUAUUUGAACCAUAAUCAUUUUUGGAAACGUUAUAUAUUAAAGGAACGCCCACAUUUUUAAUAGAACUUCAUAACUGAUCAAAGCACAAACUGGAGAACAGAUUUAAAAGAAAUGUUUUUUUAGUGUGAAUUCAUUUGUAGUUACAUAAAUACAAAAUUCACAUCUUAAAAACAAACACAAGCCAGUCACACUGAAGAAGUUUCCUGAUGUUGACCUUCGACCCUUAGCUUCAACUGAUUCACUGAAGGGUUGGGUAGAAAUGUUACCCAGAGAACGCUCUUUUUCCUCAUGGACUCAUAACCAAUGAAACAAACUGGAAGAACUGGAAGCUGAACCAGUUGGUGGAUCAAGUCGGUCAACUCCAAGUAGCCAACACCGAUCGCCUUUGAAGCUUCACAGCUCUGACUCUGACUUAUGAAAACCUUUCCUCCAGUUUGAGCCGAGACUGUGGAGGGUUUUUUUUUACGGCCUGCUGCUUCUUCAGUUGCUGUGAACCAGAGCGACAAACAGGAGGAGUGAGCAGAGAGAGACGGCGCCAGUCAGGACGGCUUUCACCAGCAACACCGUCCAGCUGCCCGGCAUGAAGACAUGAGACGGACAUUACCGGCAAAAUAAUCUAUUACAAUAAGAGUUUGGCUGAAAUAUUUUUGCAACGACUGAGAAAUAUGAA